GCACAGGGGUUUGCUGUGCUGGUCCUGUAGGGCCAGCAGUAUAAAAGAGCCGUGGGUGGUGCUGCUCUGGUCCUGUAGGGCCGGCAGUGAUGGAGCUGUGGGGUUUUGCCACCGGCACGACGGCUGCAGCUGAUGGGGUGCAGAAGAGCACCCUGAGAGGAGGCACGGCCUCGAGCAGGCAGAGACACAGACCUCUGGGCUCUGGGGAUUUGAGUGCUUCGUACAUGAACUUCCUGGCUGCGAGAGGCAUCGCUUUCUGAAACUCCUGGUGCUGGCUGUCGUACCUGUCCAUGCUCUACGUGCUGUGACCCCAGGAGCCCACCUGCGAGUGCUGCUUUGAUCGUUUCUGUUCAGUCUGUGUGCUGCUUGCUGCAGCUCUCAAAUUCUUCAGUACUGUCACUCAGAGGACUACUCCCAUGUGGAAAUGUUUCCUGGGGGAGUUCUGCCUGAAGUGGGGAAGCAUGGUCUGUAGGUGGAUGGCAAGGGUGUGGGGGCUGGUUGGAGCUGCAGGCGCUGUCCGGUGGCUGGGCUGGUACCAGCAGGCAUGCUUCUCCUGUCUCUGUUGAAGACCUGAGAGAACUUCCUUAGUGUAUCAGAUUGUGUGAUUUAUUUAUUUAUUUUUUGCUUGGCCACCAGGUGGGUUGAGCAUAUGACCACCCCAUGUGCUCCAGCUGCUGACAGCCAGCCCAGGGAGCAAUGCCCUCAGACCUGUCCCAUUGGCAGAAGGCUGCCACUACCAAAUGGGAGGGUAGGGUGCUUUCUGCUGCCUUCUGCAGGAGGCCCUCCUACACAGAGGUACCAGACUGAUAGAUAUGUGCUAACGAGAUAGCAGCCCCAAAGACUCUGGGGUUAUCCCUUCUACAGAUCUGGGUCACCCUACUGUCAGAUGACCCCUUCAAAGUCUAGAACUGGCACAAAUCAGAGGUCAAGUAGGGGCUAAUGUGCUGGUUAAUGCUGAUUGUGCCUCAGGUGGGACACAUCCGAGAUAACAUUCUGUUGCUCACUCAUGUGCAGCCAGUUACAGGAUUAGCUCCUUAGCACAAGCUGGAGGAAUACUGUUUGUGGUACAACAUGUUGUUGCAGCAACAGUUUACACCGUGUAUGAGCAGCAGUGGUACAUGCAGAUCAGGUGCUCGAGACUUAGAAAAAAAUGCACGGACUGGUUUGACACCUUCCUGUUGGGAAGGAUGUGGUAAAUAUAAAUCCAGGCUGGGGGAGCCUUUUGGCAUCCCAAAAGCUGACAGUGCUGCGGAAGGUGAGUGGCAAUGCACAAAAUUGUGUGAAACUCUAAAUACUUGAAACUCCAGCACCUUGGAUCUUUGCAGUCCUCUUGUGAGUGGAGGCAGUGCUCUGAGGGUCUGUGCUGCCCAACAGGAGAGAAAGAUGUGAAUCCCCAUCGUUCUCUUCCUCCUUCCCCAUGAUCUGCCUGGGGUCACCCAAGGGAGGGGUAGCUCUCUGCAAAGCCAUAGGAUUGCAUUUGAUGUGGUUAAAAGAAACAGAGUUCCUUCUGGUUCAGAACUGGGCCCUCUUCUUCCCCUAUGAACUGCCCUUGGAGACAUUAAAAUGCAUUUUACUUAUUCUUGCACAAAUGAUUUGCUAAUUGACAUAAUCAUGACACCAGACUGAUUUGAGUGGAUUGUUGCAGAACACAAAAACAUGGGGAGGAAAAUUGGAGUACUUUCUGCUGAUAUUUUCCCAACUUUUUGCUUCUCUUUCACUGAGCCGACUUUUCAUUU